UACGGAGGGAACUAGCGUUGUUCGGAUUUACUGGGCGUAAAGAGCGCGUAGGCGGUUUAUUAAGUUAGAAGUGAAAGCCCAGGGCUUAACCCUGGAACUGCUUCUAAAACUGGUAGACUAGAGUACGGGAGAGGAUAGUGGAAUUCCUAGUGUAGAGGUGAAAUUCUUAGAUAUUAGGAGGAACACCGGUGGCGAAAGCGACUAUCUGGAACGUUACUGACGCUGAGGCGCGAAAGCGUGGGGAGCAAACAGGAUUAGAUACCCUGGUAGUCCACGCUGUAAACGAUGAAUGCUAGAUAUCGGGUUUAUUCUCGGUGUCGUAGUUAACAUGAUAAGCAUUCCGCCUGGGGAGUACGGUCGCAAGAUUA
rnacentral:rRNA from 1 species